GGGGCCGAUUUGGAUUCGACGCCGGUAUCAAACCCUGAGGUGCAUGUCGAGAGGGUAUAGACUCUCGUAAAUCAAUCUAUGCAACUUUAUAGUUGCCAACGACGAAAGCUACGCACUCGCUGCCUAAUUAGGCG
rnacentral:tmRNA from 1 species